UGUCGUCAGCUCGUGUCGUGAGAUGUUGGGUUAAGUCCCGCAACGAGCGCAACCCCCUUUCUUAGUUGCUAACAGGUCAUGCUGAGAACUCUAAGGAUACUGCCUCCGUAAGGAGGAGGAAGGUGGGGACGACGUCAAGUCAUCAUGGCCCUUACGCCUAGGGCUACACACGUGCUACAAUGGGGUGCACAAAGAGAAGCAAUACUGCGAAGUGGAGCCAAUCUUCAAAACGCCUCUCAGUUCGGAUUGUAGGCUGCAACUCGCCUGCAUGAAGCUGGAAUCGCUAGUAAUCGCAAAUCAGCCAUGUUGCGGUGAAUACGUUCCCGGGUCUUGUACUCACCGCCCGUCACACCAUGGGAGUUGUGUUUGCCUUAAGUCAGGAUGCUAAAUUAGCUACUGCCCACGGCACACACAGCGACUGGGGUGAAGUCGUAACAAGGUAACCGUAGGUGAACCUGCGGUUGGAUCACCUCCUUUCUA
rnacentral:rRNA from 1 species